CCUCCGAGGCGAUGGCCGCAGGCAGGAGUAGUGGAGGCCAGAGUCUCCUGGGGACUAGGGCCCUGUGGGGCUCGCGCGUCUCUCCAGGUCAGUCUUUAGCGACGAUUAGCCAGUAUGUCCUUUCUCGGUUCACAGAAUCAACCGCAGAUCCCGAGGAACCCACUUCAGGAUCCCCGCCACGUCUUGACUGCCGGUUUCCAGAGGAUAGAGCAAUGCCCGCCUCCUCUGCCUUCUGAUUGGCCCCUGCGCCCUAUCAGCAGCCUUCUUCCUGUGGCUGACAGAUGGCGCGGCAGCCCAAUCAUUACGGCCGAGGCUGCCGUGGGGCGUCGCUGGGAGUUGUAGUCCCGGGGCGGCCUCCUCACUUCCGGAGUGGCGGCCGGCUCUGGACUACGCGUGCCGGCGUGGUCUGGAGUCGGUGUCUGCGUGGUCUGCAGUGGGGAACGCCCCGGAGGUGCCCUACUGCGCCUCCGGGCUGGAGGGCCGCGGGUCCGGUGGCCGCGCAGUAGGGGAAACUGAGGCCCGGCCGGCCGCCGAGGGGCUGCCCGCGUCCGCGGCGGUCGUGCCGCGGGGCUCCCGCACCCAGGCCCCACUUUUUGACGGUUUUAGCCGCGGUGGUCCUUGGGCAGAGCCAGGCCGGCAGCGGGUGAGAUCCGGCUGGGCGCGGGGGGCCGCCUGGUCCCCGGGGGGCGGGGGUCUCCUGCGUUCGCUCCCAGGACCCCGCGCUCGGGCCGCCUCGGUGUCUUCGUCGGGAAGCCUGGGGGGGACGGGGCGGGGAGGAGUCUGUUGGUGCAGACCGUGUGCAGCCCAUGCGUGCCGAGCGUCUCAGGAGCUUUCUUGGGAAAUGCGUGUUAUUUAAAAAAAAAACUGAAUUUUAAAAUUUUUUGCACCCAGGUAAGCAUGCUUUAACUCCGUGCUUCCACGUGUUUCUGCAAGUACCCUGUCCAGGGCACGCGGGAGGGUGCGUGACAUAAAUUAAGGACUGGAAGUCGGAUGCGCCGCCACCGCCAACGCUGGUGCGGUGUCCCCUCGGAACCCGGGGGGCUGCGGGUGCUCCUGGAAUCCAGGAUUUUUUUUUUUUUUUUUUUUUUUUGGUGUCUGUAAUUCUUAAGGUCUUGCUUCUGUAGAUCAGCGGUGUGUUAAAAAUUAUUCUUCUUACUGCUUCUCUCUCCAGCUGAUUUUUUAAAAAUUUACUUGAAAGAGAGACAAGAGGGAGAGGGAGAUCUUUCGUGCACUGGGUCGCUUACCAAGCGGCCAACAGCCGGGAGCCGGGAGCUCCAUCGCUCCAUCCGGGCCUCCCACGUGGGUGCAGGCGCCCGAGCGCCCAUCAGGUGUCAGCAGGAAGCCGGAUCUGGAGCGGAGCAGCCAGGACUGGAACCUGCGCUCCCGGGUGGAUGCCGCCCGCAAGCUGCAGCUUAAGGCUGCCCACAGGCCAGCCCCUCCUGUACCGCUGAAGGUUGUGUACGGGAAUAACUAUGCUAAUUUUACUUCUCCUUAAUUAGUAACCAUUAAAUAGUUCAUCCUUUUCUUGUUAACAUUUGAAUUCUCUUUAUGUCCUGAGCUACCCUUCCUUUGGCUGUAUGGUAGACAAAUCACUUCUCUUGGGCCUUGACUUUUCUGUUGAUGGUGUCUUGAAAUUCAGGAUUUUUUACAUUUCUAAGCCAAACAAACUGAGUAUUUUGAGUUGUUUAAAAGGGUGAUGUGUGCACUGUAUUUCAUGAAACACCCUAGGAGUAUCUGGGACUACCCCUCUAAUCAAAUAAUACUUUGGCAGCUAAAAUAUAUGAAUGUUCUCAGAUAUUCAGCCUACAUGGGAUAUACAGAGACUAAGUAUUCUCAAUUCAAGUGGGUUUUGUUGGGUCUCAUGCCCGAAGCUGGCCCUGACCAGCAGGGCCCAGUGCAGACACUCCCCAACAAGGUGAACAGGAAGGGUAGGUCCACCGGUGAAGGACACACCACAAGCCCGUGGGCUCUGUGGAAGCAGGAACGCUCUGUUGAGGAAGUGUGCAGGCUUAUUAGAAAGUUUACGAAGGACGCGCGCAGUAGGGGAGCCAAUCAGAGAAAAGAUCACGCAGGCGUGGGUGGGCCACACACAGGGCACCUUAAGCGAAGUAUAGGGAUCACGCACCGUCCACGUGUCCGGAACCAGAGUGGACCUGUCCCUGCCGGUGGUCUGAUCUCCCGUAGCUUAACCGCGGCAGCCGCAGGCGCCGUAUUGUAACGGAGAUUUUAGGCAAUGCCCAACAGGGUUUGUGUCAAACGCAGGAAAAAUCAAGCUUUUUAGAGUGUUUGCGAGUUGGAUAGAAUGUGCUGUGUCUGCUUGGUGGUCUCCGGUCCUGCGGUGUAGAGGAGACGGUUUGCCCUGUUAGCCAGGGUCAGCGUCACUGCUGCUGCUUAGAUGGGCCGAGAACAAACACCUCGACACAUUUCCUUCCUGAGGUCGAAUUGUCUUCAUUAGUGACUCAGGAGCCAGGCAGCUUCCAGUCCUCACACGUAAGGUGCUGUGACGGCCCGGGCAGAGCUGGGGAGCUGCAGGCGGACGGCGGGGGAAGCAGGACGACACAUUGCAGAUGGGCUGCUCCAGGGUUCCCUUCCUUCAGGGGUGCGAGAGGAAUCUUGUUGGCUUACUGGGAUCUAACUCUCAUCUCUCUCCUGGUUUCUCAGAAGGUGCGAUCUUACAAGUAAACAGCUCGGGCUUCAGCCUUGUGUGAGAACCCGCUUCGGGGCCUGAUGUCUUGAACAGAUGGCCCGAGUGACCGCUGGGUCACGCGGGGUCCGGCCGUGGGCAUGUUCAGAAGGACGUGCAAUGCAGCACACUGCUGAGCGUGCGUCACUUGGUGCCGGCCGGGACGUACACCAGCCUUCGCUGCUGUAUGUGAAUUCCCCGUGUCUCCAUUUAUAAAUGAUGCUUUAAAGUGCUUGUUAUUUUAAAAUUCUAAGUGAAUGUAUUAACUAUUAGAAGAAAAUAUGGGAAAGGUUCAUGAUAUUAGAUUCUUGCAUAUUAUGCAAAAGCACAGCGAAAAAAGUUAAAUUGGAUUACAUCAAAAUCUAAAAUUUGUGCCCCAAAUGCACUAUUACAGUGAAAAGGCAAUCCAUGAAUCAGAGAAAAUAUUUGCAAAUCAUAUAUCUGCUAGGGAGUUACUAUCCGAACUUUAUAAAGAUUAUCUACAAAAUUAGCAGCAAAUAAUAAAAAAAGGACAAAUUGACAAAAUGGGGUGGAUGUUGCAGCACAACAGGUUAAGCCGCCUCUUGGGAUACCUGCAGCCCGUAUCAAAGUGCCUGGUUCAAGACCCAACACUCUGCUUCUGAUCUCGCGUCCUGCUAACGCCCAAGGUCUUGGGCUCCUGCCACUCAUGUAGCAGCCCCAGAUGGAGUUGCUGGCUCCUGGCUACGGUGGGCAUUUCAGGACUGAACCAGCAGAAGGAAGACACCUCUCUGUCUCUGCUCUCUUUGUCACUCUUUCAAAUAUCAUUUAAAAAAAUUAACAACUUGAAUAGAGAUUUUGCCAGAGGAAAUACACAAAUGCCCAGUAAGUACAUGAAAAUACAAUCCAUACCGUUAUUCAUUAGGGAAACACAUCAAAACCAGGUUGGGGCCCGCUUCUCAGCCGUCAGGGCGAGAAAAGAGAGAAGGCUGGCUGUGGUGCGGAACGCAGCCGCCACCUGGGUGCUGGCACCGUGUGCGUGCCUGGCUCAGGUCCCAACGGCUCCCCUUGUGAUCCCCUCGUGGGAGUUGGACGCUCUUGGGAAAGCAGUGGAAGAUGGCUGAGGACUUGGGCUCCUGCCACCCACCAUCCCCGGCCAUGGUGACCAUUUGUAACAAAUGGUCCAUUUGGAAUAAACCAGUGGAUGGACGACUUCUCUCCCUCUCCUCCCCCUGCCCCCAGUAACUCUGCCUUUCAAAUAAAUAAACCUUUUAGAAAGAUAAAAGAAGUGCCUGCUCAGAUGUGAGGACAUUGGCUCCCCUGCACCCUGCUGGUGGGGAUGGAACAGAGACGCCCGCAGUCCUCUCGUGGGUGGAAGGGGGGCAGCGGAGAGCAGGCACUAGGUGUGUACACGCGUGUCAGAGCGGGAUCACCCACAGGAGCCAACAGGGGGGAGGGCCCACGCGUCCACUGAUGGCCAGGGUGGAUGGGCUGGAAGGCAUCAUACGGAGAGGGAAUCAGUCACAAACCAGACUCCGAGUCCCCUCUCUGAGGUCCUGGAGCAGAGGCACCAGUCGGGGUGGAACGGUGGGGCCGGGGCUGGGAGGAGUUAGUGUCUCUGGGACAGAGCUUUAGUCUGGGAGAAUGAAGGAGUUCCGGGGAUGGGCGGUGGUGACUGGCUUACACUAAGUGCAUAAGCACUUCACACACGCCGAAAACGGCCACGCUGGCAAGUGCUAAACGAAGUGCUUGGAGGACUACAACUAAACGCUGCUUCUCCGUGCGUCCCGCGGUCUCGCUGGCCGCCCUCAGGGGCCGUGACUCAGGAGAAAGAUGCUCUAACUGGAGCCCCUGGUUCCUACCUCAGAGGGGUGCUCUGAGUUUUAAGUGAGACCCCGGCUGUGCAGGUUGGGGAGCUCUCAGUACCCCAUGCGGCUGUCUCCUCUCUCCCCACAAGCACUGGGCCUCCUGGCGUCCAGGAAGUUUCCGGAGAGUUGGUUCACUUCUGGCUCCAGACGGGGAUGUGCGCUGGGUGCGUGCUUUUCUGAGCCUCCGUUCUUGCAUCUGCAAAGCAGGAAUAAAAUAGGGGCCGGUGGUGUGGCGUGGAGGGAAACCGCGGCGGGGAGUGACCCCCCGACGGCGGAGCUGUCUCUCCCUCCUCUCUCUCUCAACUCUUCUUUUUGUUGUUGUUUAGAUUUUUAUUUAUUUAUUUGAAAGUCAGAGUUACACACAGAGAGAGAGAGAGAAGGAGAGGCAGAGAGAGAGGUCUUCCAUCCACUGGUUCACUCCCCAACAGCCAAAGCUGUGCUGAUCCGGAGCCAGGAGCUUCUUCCGAUCUCCUACGUGGGUUCAGGGGCCCAAAGACUUGGGCCAUCUCUCCUGCUUUCCCAGCCCAUAGCAGAGAGCUGGAUCAGAAGUGGAGCAGCCGGGACUUGAACCAGUGCCCAUGUGGGAUGCCGGCACUGCAGGCGGCAGCUUUACCCGCCAUGCCACAGCGCCGGCCCCUAAACUCUACUUUUCAAAUAAAGAAAUACUUUUGUAAAAAGGAAUAAAAAGACUGCUCCAGGCUAUUGGUUUUUUAAGCUUAUUUAUUUAUAUUUAUUUGAAAGGCAGAGGGCCAGAGAGUGCUUUCAUCCACUGGUUUACUCCCCAAAUGCCCACAACAGUAGGGGCUAGGCCAGGCCAAAGCCAGGAGCCCUGACCCUCAUCCCGGUCUCCCACGUGGCUGGCAGGGACCCAAGUGCUUGAGCCAGGCACAUCAGCAGGAAGCUGGAUCAAAAGCAGACGUGGGAUUUGAUCCCAGGCUUCCCAAUACGGGUGUGACUGUCCCAGGCUGGGGCUUAAUGCACUGCCACAUAACUCCUGCCGCUAGGCCAUUUUUUAACUUUAUAAGGAAUGGUUUUCUUAGAUACUGUACCAGCAGUAACUGGUACAUUGCCAAGACGCUUGCUCCUUCGUGUUUUUCUGAUUUUGAGUGAAAUGUCCCCUCUGCAGGGGAGCCGGGUCCAGCACCCCACCUCCAGCAGCCACCAGCGCUCCGGCCAGUAGCCCAUUGCUGCUCUCCCCGGCGCUCCUCUCUGUGGGGUCGGUUUUUUCCCUUGCACUGACAGAUGUUCUGUUUGCGUCCCCCAAACCCCGUGCCUGUUGUCCAGUCCAGAGCCAGGCACACAGCAGGCACUCGGGAAGCAACUGGGCUAACUAGACACUGCGCCAGUCCCCCGGGCGCCCCUCGAUCCUCCUCCAGGUCACAGGGCAGGGCUGCCUUCCUGUUCCCAGAGAAACGCGGCCUCGGAGAGGUCAGCCCUCGUGCCCGGGGCUGCGGCUGCUUCAGUAGCAGCUCUGGGUGGGUUUCCCGCCUCCUGCUGCUCCGUGGCCUUUCGGCUCCUGUGCGAAGCCCCCCAGCCAACUGCAGUCUUCGUGAGAACAAGCGGAGCCUGCGGGCCUUCGUUCCGCAGCCGGCAGCCGGCGGGGCAGGGUGUUCUUGAACGUCUGGAGUGGCAGGUGUAGCAACGUGCCAGGGCUGAGGGCUUCUGUCUCCCUAAGGCUCGGGCGGUGCUGCCUCCCUGGCUCCCUCCUCAGUGGCCUCGGAGGCAGCCUGGAGCUGGCCUGCACCUGCACGGGGCAGCGCCCUUCGCACCUUGGCCUUUUUUCCUCCCUGGCCCCUCCACCAUGGCCAAGCUGCUACCACCGUCCGUUGAUCCCACAGGCCGUCCCUUCAUUGUCAAGUGUCGCCUCUGGUGGCUCCUGCUCUGACUUCAGCCCCCAGAGAAGCCACCUGCUUUCCCUCGCGCUGGCCACGCUCUCUCCUGGACACAGCAGGGGCGCUCCAGUGACCUGUGUCCCUGGGCCUAGCAUGGGCGGGGCCCAGUGUGGAGGAGUGGCAGGUUCCGUGGAGCUGGCUGUGUGACAGCUGCUCAAGCCCCAGGGAGGCCUCCAGGAGCAGGUGCCACUGCCCCGGCCCCUCCGCGCCGCGGUUGGCGGUCGAGGCCCCAAGCCUGGGGAGGAUGAGACGUGAGGAUGUGCACCCUCCCUCAGCCCGUGUGUGCUCACCCCACGGAGCUGUAGCAAUUGCACAGAUACCUGGGUGCACACCAAGAUGUCUGAAACCAGCUGGUUGGGAGGGGCCCAAGCUCUGCAGGGCCCAGGUCUCUGACCCGUGUCCCUCCCUCUGGCUGUGGGCAGGGCAGGCUGUUGUCCCCUAAGAGGAUUAGAAGCUGAAGUACAGCCUUCUCCCUGGACAGUCCACACCUGAUUUGGUGAGGCUGUGGUUUUGUUCCAACGUUAUUUUACCUUAGGCUGAAUUUUCCUUUAUGGCAAAACCCAGGAUCAGGUUUCUCUAAAUGUAAUCCAUGCAGUAAUCCAGGAGUACUUUGUUGAGGCAAAAAAAGCAAACCAGUUUUCAGCUUCCGUGAUGAUAACACGCAGAGCUUUGUGCCCUAAGUCAGUUCCCUGGAUUAUUUUCUGAAAUUGCAAAUGUGCUUCAGAGGAAUGACGGGAGACAGCGAAGGCUGAGUGCUGAACGGCUCUCACCAGUUCAGGUGAUAUUGUGCAAUGUGUGCUCACACCUAUCCCACAGGUGCUGGCGUGGUGGCACGGCAGGUAGAGCUGUUGCCUGCACGGCGGCCAUCCCGUAUAGGUACCUGUUUGAGUUCCCACUGCUCCACUUCCUAUCCCGCUCCCUGCUAAUAGCCUGGGAAAAGCGGCGGAAUACGGCUCCUUGCCACCCACGUGGGAGACCUGGAAGAAGCUCUGACCCUUGGCUUUUUGGCCUGGCCCAGCCCCAGUUGUGGCAUCCAGGGAGUGAACCAGCAGAUGGAAGAUCCCUCUUUCUUUCUCUCUCUCUCUCCCUCCCUCCAUCCCUCCCUCCCUCUCGUUUUCUCUCUCUCUCUCUCCCUCUGUCUUUCCCUCCCUCUCUAACUUUGACUUCCAAAUAAAUAAACACAUCUUUAAAAAAUUCCAUCCCAUAAUAUAGCCAUAAACACUUUGCUACAUAUGGAAGGUAAAUAUUUAUAAUCUGUCAUUUUGCAUUUUCUUCAUAGUUGCUCUAAGUAAAAUAUUGAUAUAAAGGCAAAUAUAAAUAAAAUGAAAAUAUCAAUAAACCAAAAUGCACCUUGUAAGAUCAGUAGCUCUGUAUUGGAAUGGGAAGCGUUAAUUGCAUCUCGUACACACCUGUCCCUGCUUCUCAUUGCCCACUGGUGUUUGUUGGCUGCCGUAUUCCAGUGCACUUGCCAGGUCGCGCUUUGUUUCUCUAACAGUGGAUUGAAAUCUGAGCGUGAUGUUUUAUAUUUCAUCCUAAAUUUUUUUAUUUUCCAGGAUAUGAAAUCACAUUGGUUAUGUUUGAUAAUCCAUUUUUGGCAUGUAUUUUCAUAUAAAUUAUGGGGUGUUUUUGCCUCUCAGUCCUUACAACAUAGUAAGGAGAAAGCCCCCAGCAUGUGGAAAUAUGACUGAUGCCACGCUGGUGUAUGGGUUAGAAAUAAUAAGGAUUAUAAAUGACUCACUGGGUGCAGGAAACAAGAGGAGAAGACUUAUUGGGGGAGAAGUGUAAAAGCUUGCUCGGUUUAUGCACAGCUGAAGGAAGGCACCGUGAGAGAUAGAUUACAGUCCCCCUCUCUAUUAUUUCUAAGGCAGUUUUUAUUAACCCCUUUUUAUCAAUCAAAAUGAAUUGAUUGCCUGUGGAUGCAAUAUUUUCUGACUAUUUGAAAUUAUAAAGCAAACGCAAAAACACAGACUCACCUACUACAUUCUCUGAAAAAUAAGAGACAAAUUCCCUCCAAAGGGAUUGCUAAAUAAUGUUAACACUUUUUAUGGCCACCCCUUAAAACACAACAUUUCAUUUAAGGAUAGGAUUAGGCCUUGGGAUUCCUUUGGAAUUUGACUUUGCCCAGCUGUGUUAGUGACCAGGUAUUGCAGACACUGUUACUUAAUAUUUAUACCCCAUCAUAAAAGGACAUCUUUCUGUAGGGUAAACAUGGUUAUGGCCGAUAAUAACUGGGUCCUGGAUAAGGAAUGAUAGAACAGCCUGAUUCAAGGAAGAGAAAAUGAGAGGUCAACCAAGCUGUGAGUCGCCGCCAGCAAGGGGCACAGGCCCUCGGAGCUCUGAUGCAGUGACGGGCGCGUGCAGAAACAGGACGCCCGGCUCUGGCCUCUGGUCACAGCUCGGACUCCAGAACAACCAGCUGGGUGUCAUGGAGCUGUGACUUCAGGGUGUGUGUGUGUGUGAGAGAGAGAGACUAUGUGCACCUGUGUAUCUAUGUGUGUGUGCCUGUAUGAGCACCUGUGUGUCUGUGUGCACCUGUGUGUCAUGGAGCUGUGACUUCAGGGUGUGUGUGAGAGAGAGACUGUGUGCACCUGUGUAUCUAUGUGUGUGCACCUGUGUUGUGCACCUGUAUGAGUACCUGUGUGCACCUGUGUGUCAUGGAGCUGUGACUUCAGGGUGUGUGUGUGAGAGAGACUGUGCACCUGUGUAUCUAUGUGUGUGUGCCUGUGUGUGCACCGUAUGAGCACCUGUGUGUCUGUGUGCACCUGUGUGUUGGCCUGUGUGUGUACACCCCUAUGUGUGUGCUCUCAGUGUCCCAAAGACCUCUGCACCCUGAAUUCCUUGCACAGGUAGGAGGGGCCCAUGGGGCCUGGCGCCCACUGGCUGCCCUAGGAGGUGACACCUGCAUACCAAGCAGCCUGAAGGCGAGUGCCCAGCCCAGCAGAACAGAGGGCCCUGUGCAUUCAAGGCUCCCAGUGUCUGGAAGGUCCUUGGGAUAUGAGCCCUGGGAACCACACUGCCCAAAAGAGCUGGAAUGGUUGGGACUUCCUGAGUCUCUAAGGAAUUACUUCCGGUUGUAUCAAUGGUUCGUGACACCAGGGAAGCUCAUAUGUGUCCUUAGUUUCUUAAAUAUGAAAAAGAAUUACAAACAUGAGCAGAAAACCAGCUCUCAAUGGACUUGAAGCAGGAAUAUGCAUACAUGUACACACACACAUUGUUUAUACACAAAACAUUUGACCCAAACAGGAGAGAAUCUCACGCCUACGACCAUUAUCUGGGGAUCACAGACACUCAGGGCCCAGGUGUCAACAAGAAUGGGUCAGCACAGUCGCAGGGCGUGGACUUUGAGGGAAGGAACAAUGCCACAGAAGGCCGAGCGCCCGAGAGAGCAGUCUUCCUCCUGGGCCUCCCACACUCCUGCCAGCACUCUGCCAGGUGCACAGCUUAGAGGCCCUCACACUCACACACACGCACACACACACAGCUGAUGGGGAGGCCAGGGCAGGAGGAGGAGAGAAGAGUGCCGGUCAGGGGAGAAGCCUGUGUUUUGGGUGGAUUGGCAGAGCCUCUGCAGACACAGGACCUGCUUGCAUCACUUCUCAGUUGUGGUCCCUCUGGAGUGAAUGAAGAAACCACUCAACAAAGGCUGCUCCCCUGCACCUAGAGAGACGGUUGAUGCCAUCUACAGCCUGGAAGCCAGUGCUGCAACCCACACCCAGCGUGGUCUGCUCUGGGCGGGAGGGAGGAGCUGAGAAUUUAUGCAGGAGAUGGGAGGAACAUGGCAGUCAACUACUGCCCACGUGAGUUUUUUUUUUUUCCUGGGAAGUUGUAAACAAUUAAAAAUAUAUUAAAAAAAUCAUUUUAACUAAAGAACUUCUGCAGGCUGCAGCAGUUGGGCUGAGAUUUACGAGCUACGCUUUUCUGAAUGUGUUUCUUCCAGUCCGCGCCAUAUGGGACAUGAUCACAAUUUUUUUUUCCUGUGUAGCAGCCCUGGUACAUUCAAGGCAGCUCUACUGCUAGAUUUGCUUGUCCAGGUAGUCCUGUCCUCUUAGGGGAAACCGGGUUACUGUGUGUCCAGGUAGUCCUGUCCUCUUAGGGGAAACCGGGUUACUGUGUGUCCAGGUAGUCCUGUCCUCUUAGGGGAAACCGGGUUACUGUGUGUCCAGGUAGUCCUGUCCUCUUAGGGGAAACCGGGUUACUGUGUGUCCAGGUAGUCCUGUCCUCUUAGGGGAAACCGGGUUACUGUGUGUCCAGGUAGUCCUGUCCUCUUAGGGGAAACCGGGUUACUGUGUGUCCAGGUAGUCCUGUCCUCUUAGGGGAAACCGGGUUACUGUGUGUCCAGGUAGUCCUGUCCUCUUAGGGGAAACCGGGUUACUGUGUGUCCAGGUAGUCCUGUCCUCUUAGGGGAAACCGGGUUACUGUGUGUCCAGGUAGUCCUGUCCUCUUAGGGGAAAUGGGUUACUGUGGAGCCACCAGAUGACACACACCUCUGAGAAGAGAUGGAGUGUAUUUUUAUCAGCAGAGCCAAGAUGAAGUAUGUCUUGAAAUCUGCUUUACAAAUAAACUUGCACAUAAAUUGUCCAUUCA